rnacentral:rRNA from 1 species
UGGGGAAUCUUAGACAAUGGGCGCAAGCCUGAUCUAGCCAUGCCGCGUGAGUGAUGAAGGCCCUAGGGUCGUAAAGCUCUUUCGCCAGGGAUGAUAAUGACAGUACCUGGUAAAGAAACCCCGGCUAACUCCGUGCCAGCAGCCGCGGUAAUACGGAGGGGGUUAGCGUUGUUCGGAAUUACUGGGCGUAAAGCGCGCGUAGGCGGACUAUUAAGUUAGGGGUGAAAUCCCGGGGCUCAACCCCGGAACUGCCUCUAAUACUGGUAGUCUUGAGUUCGAGAGAGGUGAGUGGAAUUCCGAGUGUAGAGGUGAAAUUCGUAGAUAUUCGGAGGAACACCAGUGGCGAAGGCGGCUCACUGGCUCGAUACUGACGCUGAGGUGCGAAAGUGUGGGGAGCAAACAGGAUUAGAUACCCCCGUAGUCC